rnacentral:rRNA from 1 species
CCUACGGGGGGCUGCAGCAAGGAAUCUUCCGCAAUGGGGGCAACCCUGACGGAGCAACGCCGCGUGGGGGAUGAGGCCCUUCGGGGUGUAAACCCCUUUUCGGUGGGACGAAGACCUGACGGUACCACCGGAAGAAGGACCGGCUAACUACGUGCCAGCAGCCGCGGUAAGACGUAGGGUCCGAGCGUUGUCCGGAGUUACUGGGCGUAAAGGGCGCGCAGGCGGCGGUGCUGGCCCGGCGUGAAAGCCCCCGGCUCAACCGGGGAAGGGCGUCGGGGACCGCACCGCUUGAGGGCGGCAGGGGCUGGUGGAAUGCCUGGUGUAGUGGUGAAAUGCGUAGAGAUCAGGCGGAACACCCGUGGCGAAGGCGGCCAGCUGGGCCGGCCCUGACGCUGAGGCGCGAAGGCGUGGGGAGCGAACGGGAUUAGAUACCCUUGUAG